AAUAAACUUUGUGAAAAGUGUACACGUAUCACGGACAAAAAGUGAUAAAACUGGACAAUUGUAAGUUGUACGAUGGCAGACAGCAAUCAAGAUAAGAGGAAGGAAAGAAGGGAAAGAAUAGAUUAUAAGCGAUUACAUGAAGGGAAAUCGGCUGUAAAGUUUUAAUACGAGCCACAAAGUCCAGAAUUCGCUCGAGGUGAAGAAACAGGUGCUACAGGCGGGACCGCAACAACGAGCGAGUCGCAUAAGGAACCGAUUGAAAUUGGUGGUCUACGACCAGAAAGUGAGUCGGAUUCGGACGAUGAUGUCGAGAUUGCUUCAAUGCAAGAAAAGCUAGCUCAGCUUGAAAAAGAGGAGAAGAAGCUAAAGAAACAGCAAGAGAAGGAACGUUUAAGAGGGCUCCUGGAAGAAAAGAAAGACAACAUCUUCAAACUCAAGGUGACUAUUUAAAGAGAAGGUCACAGUUAUUAUCAAUUAAAGAUGUGUUUUGAUGCAGCAAUUGCGCGUUAGGUGACAAAAUUUUAUCUGAAAUGUGACUGAAUAGAAAAUUAAUGGUCCGUUUGAAAAAUAACUUUAAAUGCAGACAACUGACGCAAUUGACUUAAUUUAUGCUAAAAAAAAGAAGAACUGGCUUUGUCCCGGACGCAGCAGUGAUGCAUAAGAAAAGAAAAUUUAUGACAUAAUAUCAUUAUUAUUGUGCGGGUAGACAAGAUAUACAGGAGCUUACUGAAAUUGGAAGCUUUGUAAACUACCGAAAAGAAAGAAUUGUUUAUGCUUCCGGAGGCGACUAGGAUUUCUUAAGUAUGAAAAUUAAAGAUUUGUUCUUGACCUUAAACCUUUAAUACCCAUUCAUAUUCAGCAGUGGAUGAACUGUUGCCUGUUAUUACCAAAUUGGUAAAUUUGUCGUUACGUGAAGGCAUCUUUCCAACAAAAUGAAAACAGGCAAUUGUAAGACCUUUGUUGAAGAAAGUGGGACUCGAACUUGAAUUUGCAAACUACAGGCCUGUUAGCAACCUCUCAUUUUUUUCGAAACUUACGGAAAAAGCAGCUCUGUUCAGACUCAACGAUCAUGUUAACAAACACAAUCUUCUACCCAAAAAUCAAUCUGCUUACAGGAAAAACCAUUCUUGCGAAUCCGCAUUGUUACGUCUAGUAAAUGAUUUACUGGAUGCUAUGGAGAAGAAAGAAGUUACGGCGUUAAUUGUCAUUAAUCUCAGUGCCGCCUUUGAUACUGUAGACCAUGACAUUCUCGUUGAUGUGUUGAACAAGCAGUAUGGCGUUUGUGGAACAGCACUGAGCUAGGUUGAUUCCUAUCUGCGCCCCAGAAGUUGCCGUGUAAAUGUCAAUUCAGCCAUGUCCUUUCCACGCCAAUUAAAUUGUAGCGUUCCACAAGGGAGUUGCUUAGGACCGUGGCUCUAUUUGACAUAUGCGGGGAUACUGCUUGAUGUUAUUCCGCCAUCUA
rnacentral:lncRNA from 1 species